UGAUCCUGGCUCAGGACGAACGCUGGCGGCGUGCUUAACACAUGCAAGUCGAACGGAGAUAUAUAUUUAGUUUACUAGAAAUAUAUCUUAGUGGCGGACGGGUGAGUAACACGUGGGCAACCUGCCUUAGAGUGGGGGAUAACAGCGAGAAAUCGUUGCUAAUACCGCAUGAAAUUAGAGUUUUGCAUGAAGCUUUAAUGAAAGGAGAAAUCCGCUAUAAGAUGGGCCCGCGCCUGAUUAGCUAGUUGGUGAGGUAAUAGCUCACCAAGGCGACGAUCUGUAGCCGAUCUGAGAGGAUGACCGGCCACACUGGAACUGAGACACGGUCCAGACUCCUACGGGAGGCAGCAGUGGGGAAUAUUGCACAAUGGGGGAAACCCUGAUGCAGCAACGCCGCGUGGAGGAAGAAGGUUUUCGGAUUGUAAACUCCUGUCUUUUGGGACGAUAAUGACGGUACCAAAAGAGGAAGCCACGGCUAACUACGUGCCAGCAGCCGCGGUAAUACGUAGGUGGCGAGCGUUGUCCGGAAUUACUGGGCGUAAAGGGCGCGUAGGCGGCUAAUCAAGUCAGAUGUGAAAACCCUAGGCUUAACCUGGGGAUUGCAUUUGAAACUGACUAGCUCGAGUGUCGGAGAGGAAAGCGGAAUUCCUAGUGUAGCGGUGAAAUGCGUAGAUAUUAGGAGGAACACCAGUGGCGAAGGCGGCUUUCUGGACGAUAACUGACGCUGAGGCGCGAAAGCGUGGGGAGCAAACAGGAUUAGAUACCCUGGUAGUCCACGCCGUAAACGAUGGAUACUAGGUGUGGGAGGUAUCGAACCCUUCCGUGCCGCAGUAAACGCAAUAAGUAUCCCGCCUGGGGAGUACGGCCGCAAGGUUGAAACUCAAAGGAAUUGACAGGGGCCCGCACAAGCAGCGGAGCAUGUGGUUUAAUUCGAAGCAACGCGGAGAACCUUACCAGAACUUGACAUCCCCUGCAUAGUCCGUAAUGGGAUGAAAUCCUUCGGGACAGGGAGACAGGUGGUGCAUGGUUGUCGUCAGCUCGUGUCGUGAGAUGUUGGGUUAAGUCCCGCAACGAGCGCAACCCUUAUACUUAGUUGCUAGCAUUAAGUUGAGCACUCUAAGUAGACUGCCGGAGACAAUUCGGAGGAAGGUGGGGAUGACGUCAAAUCAUCAUGCCCCUUAUGUUCUGGGCGACACACGUGCUACAAUGGGUAAAACAACGGGAAGCGAGAUAGUGAUAUCAAGCAAAUCCCUAAAAAGUACUCCCAGUUCGGAUUGUAGGCUGCAACUCGCCUACAUGAAGUCGGAGUUGCUAGUAAUCGCGAAUCAGCAUGUCGCGGUGAAUACGUUCCCGGGCCUUGUACACACCGCCCGUCACACCACGGGAGUUGGAAGCACCCGAAGCCGGUGACUUAACCCGUUCGGAAG
rnacentral:rRNA from 1 species